GAUGAACGCUGGCGGCGUGCCUAAUACAUGCCAAUCGAGCGAACGGACGAGAAGCUUGCUUCUCUGAUGUUAACGGCGGACGGGUGAGUAACACGUGGAUAACCUACCUAUAAGACUGGGAUAACUUCGGGAAACCGGAGCUAAUACCGGAUAAUAUUUUGAACCGCAUGGUUCAAAAGUAAAAGACGGUCUUGCUGUCACUUAUAGAUGGAUCCGCGCUGCAUUAGCUAGUUGGUAAGGUAACGGCUUACCAAGGCAACGAUGCAUAGCCGACCUGAGAGGGUGAUCGGCCACACUGGAACUGAGACACGGUCCAGACUCCUACGGGAGGCAGCAGUAGGGAAUCUUCCGCAAUGGGCGAAAGCCUGACGGAGCAACGCCGCGUGAGUGAUGAAGGUCUUCGGAUCGUAAAACUCUGUUAUUAGGGAAGAACAUAUGUGUAAGUAACUGUGCACAUCUUGACGGUACCUAAUCAGAAAGCCACGGCUAACUACGUG
rnacentral:rRNA from 1 species